GGAUGGUUGGGCCUAUGUAGGGAACAAGUAUUUGUGUGGUGCACCUGAUGCCAUUAUAAAUUGCAAUAUCAACGAUGGCUCAUCUGAGCAAGAACCUGCAAGUGAAGAGGAUGCCAGUGAAAAAUGGUUGUUCAUUGGAAUUGUGGCAGUUGGCUAUGUUGUUGGUUUCUGGGGACAUUUUGGGGUUCUGAAAUUGUUGAAAAAGCGAUGGAGAGAGCGGU
rnacentral:misc_RNA from 1 species